UGCAGAAUUAUGCAGAACUCAACAGAACUCGCUGAGACCAUUUUCAACCACUUUUGCCAACUUCUAACACUCCUAAUCUUUGUUUUAGACAUAAUUAAACUUAUCUAAGUGAUUCUAAACAUUACUAACACAUUUCUAAAGUGAUUUAAGCUUCAUUUCAACUCUAAAACACUCAAUUUCUCAACUUAGGGACCCAAAACCCAAUCUUACCAUUUGGUACCUAUUUUGACCAAUUUAGUGACUCAAACAAGUCACAAUACAUUGCAUGAAGCUGUCCCAACAGUCCAAAAACGUGACAAACCCCAAUUACUCAAAAUCACUACCUCACUUCCUCUAAAAUGGCUAAAAAGUGACCCUAAGAUCUUUGAUUCCCUUCCAAAUAAUGCCACAACAAAUUUCCACACCAAAACAGUUCCAACAUGCAUAAUUCAUCAUUCAAAAACGUCCCAAACAGUUCAUAAUCAUCAAUCAUCAAAUUCACACAACAUACACAUUUCCAUUCAUGCAUUUCAAGUCAAUAUAACCAAUUUCAUGCCUCCAACAACAUACAACAUCAAAAUUAUCA
rnacentral:lncRNA from 1 species